rnacentral:rRNA from 1 species
UACGUAGGUGGCAAGCGUUGUCCGGAAUUAUUGGGCGUAAAGCGCGCGCAGGCGGUUUCUUAAGUCUGAUGUGAAAGCCCACGGCUCAACCGUGGAGGGUCAUUGGAAACUGGGAAACUUGAGUGCAGAAGAGAAGAGCGGAAUUCCACGUGUAGCGGUGAAAUGCGUAGAGAUGUGGGGGAACACCAGUGGCGAAGGCGGCUCUUUGGUCUGUAACUGACGCUGAGGCGCGAAAGCGUGGGGAGCGAACAGG